rnacentral:rRNA from 1 species
GGUGAACGCUGGCGGCGUGCUUAACACAUGCAAGUCGAACGAAGUGGCGAACGGGUGAGUAACGCGUAAUCAACCUGCCCUUCAGAGGGGGACAACAGUUGGAAACGACUGCUAAUACCGCAUACUGAAGGAGGGGCUUGCGUCUGAUUGGCUAGUUGGCGGGGUAACGGCCCACCAAGGCGAUGAUCGGUAGCCGGUCUGGGAGGAUGAACGGCCACAUUGGGACUGGGACACGGGCCAGACUCCUACGGGAGGCAGCAGGUGGGAAUCUUCCGCAAUGGACGAAAGUCUGACGGAGCAACGCCGCGGGAGGGAUGACGGCCUUCGGGUUGUAAAGCUCUGUUAAUCGGGACGCGGUACCGGAAUAGAAAGCCACGGCUAACUACGUGCCAGCAGCCGCGGUAAUUC